CCUACGGGGGGCUGCAGUGGGGAAUAUUGCACAAUGGGCGAAAGCCUGAUGCAGCGACGCCGCGUGAGGGAUGAAGGCCUUCGGGUUGUAAACCUCUUUCAGCAGGGAAGAAGCGAAAGUGACGGUACCUGCAGAAGAAGCACCGGCUAACUACGUGCCAGCAGCCGCGGUAAUACGUAGGGUGCGAGCGUUGUCCGGAAUUAUUGGGCGUAAAGAGCUUGUAGGCGGUUUGUCGCGUCUGCUGUGAAAAUCCGGGGCUCAACCCCGGACUUGCAGUGGGUACGGGCAGACUAGAGUGUGGUAGGGGAGACUGGAAUUCCUGGUGUAGCGGUGAAAUGCGCAGAUAUCAGGAGGAACACCAAUGGCGAAGGCAGGUCUCUGGGCCACCACUGACGCUGAGAAGCGAAAGCGUGGGGAGCGAACAGGAUUAGAUACCCCAGUAGUC
rnacentral:rRNA from 1 species